rnacentral:rRNA from 1 species
AUGGCUGCCGCUCGCCGUCGCGAACCGCCGCGGCCACCGGCCUCCAGUCGUCGCACCAUCGUGCCCAUCCGCUACUCCGACCUCCUCUUCAUGGUCUUCGACGACGGGAUCAAGCUCGGGACCCCUACCUCGUCGGAUCGUCCUCGUCUCCCCUCUGUGCCCCGCCGAGCGGCGAGAGAGUGCAAGGACACCGGCAGCAACUACAGCUGCCUCUGCCGCGCACACCGUGCCCUACCCCCGUCCAUGCGCGCCCGCACCCGCUACGUCCUGGAGCCCGAAUCGUGCCCGUUCGCCCGCUAA